CUUCAACGAGCCCAGCCACAGCGGGCGUUCGGCGGGGCGGCCCGGGCUGUAUGCGGCGAGCAGCGCCUGGGCCUC
rnacentral:antisense_RNA from 1 species